AACCUCGACAUCCCCCUCCUUUUGGAGGAGCUGCGGGUUUUGCGGCAGCGCCAGCUCCGCCAGAUGCAGCUCACCCAAGAAAUUUGCCGCCACCUCCUCCUUUUGGGGGCGCCGGGCCCCCCGAAAACCCACCCCCCGCGCCCAAAAAAACCCCAAAACCCUCUCCCAAAACCCAUUUUCCCCUUUUUUCCCCCCAAAACGGAGCAGGCGGCGGUUUUUUUCGCCGCCCCCUACCGCUUGGCGCCGGCCCCGCGUGGCCGAACCCCCGAAUCCGCCCCGUUGCCGGGCGACCCCCCGGGACCCCCCGUGCGACCCCUAAAUAUUUUUGGGGUGAAUUCCGGGGUUUUUAGGCACGGCUGCGGGGGCGAGCGGCCCUACGGCUGCGGCGUUUGUGGCAACCGUUUCGCCACCCGGGGCAACCUCAAAGUUCACCUCCACCGGCACCGCCAAAAGAGCCCCCAAGUGGCCACCCGGGACCCCCAAGUGGCCACCCGGGACCCCCAAGUGGCCCGGGACCCCCAAGUGGCCACCCGGGACCCCCAAGUGGCCCGGGACCCCCAAGUGGCCACCGAGGGGGUCCAGGUGGCCACCGAGGGGUCGCAGGUGGCCACCGAGGGGUCGCGGGUUGGGGGCGGAAGAUUUCAGCAACCGGACGCGGCGUCGGGUGGAGGGGGGGAGGUGGAGGAGGUCGGGGGGCUAGCGGUGGCCCACGGGGGGCUACCGGGGGCCAACGGGCAAGUAGGGGGCAAGGGGGGGCAAGCGGGGGGCAACGGGGAGGGGGGGGGCAAUGAUGGCCGAUCGGGGGUCAAUAGUGGUCAAUCGGGGGUCAAUAGUGGUCAAUUGGUGGCCAAUAGUGGUCAAUCGGUGGCCAACGCUCAACUGAUGGCCAAUAGUGGCCCAAAAAUGGCCAAUAGUGGCCCAACGAUGGCCAAUAGUGGCCCAACGGUGGCCAACAGUGGCCCAACGAUGACCAAUAGUGGCCCAACGAUGACCAACAGUAGCCCAAUGAUAGUCAACAGUGGCCCAACGAUGACCAACAGUGGCCAACCGAUGGACAAUAGUGGUCAACUGAUGGCCAACAGUGGCCCAACGAUGGCCAACAAGGUCCAACUGAUGGCCAACGCCCAACCGAUGGACAAUAGUGGCCCAAAAAUGGCCAAUAGUGGCCCAACGAUGGCCAACAAGGUCCAAUUAAUGGCCGACACCCAACUGAUGGCCACUAGUAGCCCAACGAUGACCAACAGUGGCCCAACGAUGACCAACAGUAGCCUAACGGUGGUCAACAAGGUUCAAUUGGUGGCCAACGCUCAACCGAUGGCCAAUAGUGGCCCAAAAAUGGCCAAUAGUAGCCCAACGAUGGCCAACGCUCAACCGAUGGCCAACAGUAGCCCAACAAUGACCAACAGUAGCCCAAUGAUGGCCAACACUCAACCGAUGGCCAACAGUGGCCCCAAAAUGGCCAAUAGUGGCCCAACGGUG
rnacentral:lncRNA from 1 species